AUUGUUUAAUAACUUCUCAAAAUAUCCAGGAAACCUACUAAGCCUCUCAAUAUGCAGAGGACAAUAAUAAGCAGUCUCACUGAAAAUGUAACCUGCUAAGCCUCUAUCAGCAGAGGACAAAUUCAGAAGUCUAAUAAGAAAACCUGCUAAGUCUCUCAUUUAGCAGAGCACAUGUGCACAUGCCUGACAAGACUUCUCUCUCCUAGACAGAACAAUGAACAUACAGUAUAUAGGAGGUUGCCAGCACCAUUUCUAAAAAAAAAGGGGUAGACACAAAAAUCAAACAAUAUACAGAUGAUGAGACAGACCCUGAAACAUAAACAUAGUAUUCCUCUGUAUGCUAAAUAACUAGGUAAUAAAAUCGUAUUUCCCAGGCAUGUGUAACAACACCUUAUCGAGGUGGUUAGGUCCAGACCAUUUCCAGUGUCCCUAUUGCCACUCUAGGGAAUCAGCAGUCUAAUUAACCGGGAACCAAAUAAAUGUUCCGUGUUUCCGGCUGCGCUUCUUUGUGUCAGACUGACCAGCUAGCUGAGGACUCGAACACCCAACCUGACGGUAAUCCAUGUAUCCCUUUCCAAUGAAACGGAGUUUGUGCACCAAGAUUGGUGUCCUAGCCUACUUUGUUGAAGUUUGUGUAAUCCGGUGUAUGCAUCUUUGUGUGUUUGUGUGUGGGUGUGUAGGCAAAUUCGGGUGUUGGUGUGCGCUAGCGGUCGCAAAUACGGGGCAGGAGUGUUACGUUCAUGUGCGGUCGCACCACAACCUUCACAGACACCUUUAAAUCAAACUAUAGUCAAGUCAACUUUUAUUUGUAUAGUACAUUUUAUUUGUAUAGUACACAACAGGAGUUGUGCUAAAGUGCUUUACAGACAAGUUAAAUACAUUGAUAAAAAAAAAAAAGUAAUAAAGGAGAAAGGAAGGAAAGGAAAUGAACAAAUAAAACAAGUAAAAAAUAAUAUAAGAAGUAGAAAAAAUAAAGACAAAAUAAUGAAAUAUACUAGAAAUUCAACAGAAGUGCACAGUUUCAAGUGAUGUACUGUAUGAGUAAAGCAGUAAAAAAACAAUACAAAAUAAUAAAGAUGUGUAAGUUAGAGUUAAAAAGAAAAUAGAAAGAAAAUAAAUAAAUAAUACAACCAUAAGAAUGGAUAUGUAUAAAACACAACAAAUAAAAGAAGAGACUUGACCAAAACCUCAGACUGAACUGAACAACUCCUGAGACUAAAUAUGUGUUUAUGAUAUCCAGGACAUUUCUACCAACAACAUUAAACUCU
ensembl:lncRNA